UCCAGGGCAAACAAAGUGUGCGUGCACUCUCCAGGCUUGCAGAGGCAAGUACAUUUUAAGGUCUGGCUAUUAGUAGCACAGAACUUGAAGUUUUAAGUUGUGGCUUACAAGCAGCACUGUAGCAUAAAGUCAAUAUGCAUGAUGGCUGUCAUUUGCUGGAGUGGUAUUAAGAUUACGGAUUCUGCUGCAGUGAUGGCACUCUCUCUGGAGAUAUGGUUCACACUUCAGAAUGGGGCGUUCUGAGAGAUAUCGGUGUUUGGAUGUAAUAAGUUGGUAUCUGCUUGCAUAGGGGCACCUAUUGAAUUGGUAGAUACAGGCUUUCUGCUAGGCCUUAGGCUCUUUUGAAAGGACAUCAGGUUUUUUCCUGUUUUCAUGACAAUGUCAAUCCGUUAAAGGAACACUUCAAUGAUGAUUUUUUUUUUUUUU